UCUUAUCCAGAAAUACAAAAAAGAUGCUUGAUAAAUUAAUCAAUAACAUCAGCAAAGAAAACUUGGAUUUGAGUCUUGAUAAUGAUCAUUCUGAAGAAUCCACAUUACCAUAGGCUAUGGAAGUUGAACAUUCAUCAGAAAAAAUACACAAAAAUGUGCUAGUUCAGGCUAAUAUUAAGAGGGAACAAUAUCUUCAUUAGAUGAAAGAGAAGAAAAAAUUACUUUUGAAAAUAAGUAGGCUUCAAAAAAGAGUUAUUUCUCUUAAAAAGAAAAAUCAGAAGCAGAAAAUAUCAAAGAGACAGGAAUCACAAGCCUUAAAAUAUAAGUUACAGCAGCGAUUUUCAUCAAGCCAAAUCAAUGUGUUAAUUAACAAAAAUAUGAAUGCAAGGCCAAAAAACUUGACUGAAGAAGACAUUCCAAUUUCUCUGAUUUUGAGGUCAAUGACUGGAGGAAAUGCAUAUAAUUAUCUUUAGAAGAAAUUUCCCCUCCCCUGCCAGCUUUAUCAACUUUGAGAAAAUGGAUUUCAAAAUUUAAAUGUGCCCCUGGGAUUCAGCAUAAACUUUUAGAUAUUUUGAUGAAAAAAAUGAAGGAAUUUUCUCUAAAGAAUGAUUAGUUUAAGCAUCUUGAAGUGCUGUCUUAUGAUUAAAUGGAUGAAAAAUGAAGUUACGAUUACUCUCCUUCUUAUGAUCAAGUUUUUGGUCCAAACAAGAAGAUUCAGGUUGCAUUGAUACGUGGACUUUGCAAAUACUGGAAAAUGUCUGUUUACUUUGAUUUCGACACUGCCAUGUCUAUUGAAAAUCUAUUCAAUAUCAUAAAAGAAAUAGAUUAGAGAGGGAUUUGUGUAGUGGCUAUGAUCUCCGAUAUGGGUCCAUCAAAUGUGGGACUGCGUAACACAUUAGGAAUCACUGAGGAUUUUUGGAAUCCACCGGACACAUCAAAGAAGAUUUACGUCUUUCAUGAUGUGUCUCACCUAAUUAUACUCCUGAGAAACCAUCUUUUGGAUAAAGGGUACCAGUUACCUGAUGGACCCCAAAUCACAAAUAAUGAUUUUAUAGAAUUGACAGCAAGAGAUUGUCAAGAGGUAAAACUCGCACACAAGAUCAAGGAUGUUUUUCUGGCCACACCAUUGUUAAGCCAUACAAUUGCCUCAGCAUUUGAAUAUCUUUUUCCAGCAAAGAAGUCACAAGCUGAGUUUAUUAAAACUGUAGAUUCAUGGAUUGAUGUCUUCAAUAGUAUGAAGCUCAUUGAUGAUAAGACAAAUUCUUGUGGAUUUGGCAUCCAUUUGGAUGAACAAAAAGAGGUCCUCAAUAAGAUGAAGGAAACAAUAAAGAAUAUCUGGGGAAUUAGUAAAGAAAAAUCCUUUUUUUCCUUUCCAGCAUGGAAUUUUGGAAUAAUGGAAUAACUUCUUUGGUUGUUUAAUGAAGGACUUGGAACAAGAAGUGAAUGAGCCAAAAAUAGAUUAGGAAGAAUAUGAUGAUGCUUUACUAUUAGCAGCUGAAUUAGCCUUACAUCCUAAUUUGGAACACAAAGUAUCAACAAAUUCUUCCUUUUCUUCCUUGGACUGUGGUAUUUAAGGACUUGGUUACAUACCUGGCUAAAAAGUUUAAGCUAAAUACCCUGAAUAUGGAUGCAGGACACAAGAUCAUCCUUCUUGUACUGCAGAUUUAACACUAUGGAUAUCAACUUUAUCCAGAGGAGGGUUGACUAAGCCAGAAAGUUCAUUUUUUUACUCAAAUAAAACAAUUCGAGGCAAUCUUUGAGGCUUAUCAUGGACCAAAAAUUACAAAUCAACCUUAAGUUAUUGAGUCAUUAAUAUCUGUUCUCCAGGUGUCAGCUCCAAAUUUCCUUCAGGAUGUCAUAAUAAAAUAUGCUCGAAUCAGAACCUUUAUUAUAAUUAAGGAACUAAAUAAUAGUCUAAAUGUGCAACAAAAAAAAGAAAUUGGCCGAAAAUUAAAUAAAUUAUCACAUUAUAUAACAUAACUUUCUAUAAAUUUCUUAUAAUUGGUUAAUAAUAAAUUUACCAUAUGUUAAACUUAUUUAUCCAUUGUGCAGUUCAAUGUACGAAGCUUAAUCAAUAAGUUCAAAGGAGAUCCUGAAGACGAAAAUGUCCUUCUCCAAUUGGAAAACUGCCUGGGAAAAUCUUGUUAUAGAUAUGAAAGAAAUGCCGGGUUUCAAGGAAGCCAUACUAUUCCAGAAAUUAAAGAAAUGUCUAGAAGAACCAGCACUGUCAUUAGUGUCUGUGUUUGCAUCUUGCUCUCCGUCGGCAUACCGUGAGCCAUGAAAUGCCUCACGGAAUCGUAUGAGGACCCAAUGAAACUGGCAAACUCAUACCUUUUAAAAGCAACAGAUCCUAAUUAAGAUGAAGCUACAAUGGCCGAUUCUAUCUUAAAAUCUUCCCAAGCCUUACAAGUACUAAAAGACGACCUCAUAAAUCAAAAAAUCGAUAUGUAUGAAUUCGCGCUUAUGCAUGCGUUCUUAGGGGGCCAUGCCCCCUAAAAUGAAGGCAGAUUGGGAUGGUCAUAAAUACAAGUGUAAACUAGAUUACCUCCAUGAAUUCGAAAGAUAGAAUAAGUCGGAGGAAUGUAUGGAAGCUUGGACUGCUGGGAGAGUAGAAAAUCUUAGCUCUUUCAGUUCAUGGUUAAAGCUGUACAAAGUACGAAUUCCGAACUCAAAAGCGGCGGAUUCUCCAUCAACAGCAACUAGUACAUUUAGUGUAUCAAUAAAAGCAAACACUUGUUUAUUGUUCAAUGAUGAUCAUUUAACAUCAAGAUGCCCAAAAGCCUUAGGGAUGUCUUUCCUAACCCUGAAGGAAUGGUGUGUCUCUAAAGGCAUUUGCGUCCGAUGUCUGAAAACCUCAUUCAAAGAUCACUCAUGCUUAAUUCAAUGUAGAUGGUGUCAAGGACCGUUUUAUCAGUCCAACCAUUAACCGUUGACAUGCCCUAAGAAUAAAUUUCGCACUAAGCCUUUGCAGCUUAGGUCAACGAAUAGCAAAAACAUCCCAUUUAAGGCCGUCAAAAGACAAGCAAUAAGUAAAGAAAAUGACUUUGCCAAAAUAGCCAAGAUAAUGGGAGAACAAAUAAGCCAAUCUAUUACAUCUACGAUUAAUCCUAAAAGCA
rnacentral:lncRNA from 1 species